rnacentral:rRNA from 1 species
UACGGAGGGUGCGAGCGUUAAUCGGAAUUACUGGGCGUAAAGCGCACGUAGGCGGUCGGAUAAGUCGGAUGUGAAAGCCCUGGGCUUAACCUGGGAACUGAAUUCGAUACUGUCUGGCUAGAGUAUGGGAGAGGGAAGCAGAAUUUCCGGUGUAGCGGUGAAAUGCGUAGAUAUCGGAAGGAAUACGAAUGGCGAAGGCAGCUUCCUGGCCCAAUAAUGACGCUCAGGUGCGAAAGCGUGGGGAUCAAACAGG